rnacentral:rRNA from 1 species
AAGUCGAACGGACUUAACCUAUUCUUAACGAUUAGGAGCGGUUAGUGGCGGACUGGUGAGUAAUGUAUAAGUAACCUGCCUAUCAGAGGGGAACAACAGUUGGAAACGACUGCUAAUACCGCAUAUGCCACGAGAAUCACAUGGUCCAAGUGGGAAAGGAGCAAUCCGCUGAUAGAUGGACUUAUAUCUGAUUAGCUAGUUGGUGGGGUAACGGCCUACCAAGGCGACGAUCAGUAGCCGGACUGAGAGGUUAAACGGCCACAUUGGGACUGAGAUACGGCCCAGACUCCUACGGGAGGCAGCAGUCGGGAAUAUUGCGCAAUGGAGGAAACUCUGACGCAGUGACGCCGCGUGCAGGAAGAAGGUUUUCGGAUUGUAAACUGCUUUAGACAGGGAAGAAAAAAGACAGUACCUGUAGAAUAAGCUCCGGCUAACUACGUGCCAGCAGCCGCGGUAAUACGUAGGGAGCGAGCGUUAUCCGGAUUUAUUGGGUGUAAAGGGUGCGUAGACGGGAAAUUAAGUUAGUUGUGAAAUCCCACGGCUCAACUGUGGAACUGCAACUAAAACUGAUUUUCUUGAGUACUGGAGAGGAAAGUGGAAUUCCUAGUGUAGCGGUGAAAUGCGUAGAUAUUAGGAGGAACACCAGUGGCGAAGGCGACUUUCUGGACAGAAACUGACGUUGAGGCACGAAAGUGUGGGGAG